GCAGAAAAAAGUCUUACAUUUCUGAUGCUUUAUAAAAACCUGAAAUUCUGAGUGAUCUUAUCCUUUCAUUUCUGUCUUUGCCUCGCAUAUUCAUUAUAGGAAAAUUCCAAAUGGUAGUGAAAAGUACAAAAAGAACUUGAAAAUGACUCAUAAUUUCAACACUUGUUUUCUUCUUUUGCUUUUAGUUCAUAAAAUGAAGAAUAAAAGUCUACCUUCCUCCAUGUCUCCAAAGAUACUGCCUAGUCAAUUACAUGGGCUUCCUUUCACACUUACAUCAAGGCCAAGAGUAAACUGUUCCAAGCACAAUGCAACAGCCUGUUUCUUUUGAAGCAAAUAAAAUAGGAGCAUCGUUUUCAAUCUUUUUUUUUUUUAAUUUUGCCUGAAAAGUGACAGGAUAAGAAUUAGGCUAAAGAGAGAAGCAUGAAGAAACCUUUUCUUCCAGAAGGCUGAACAGCACUGCAUUAACAAUACACUUCCUGAUGGGUGAAGAAACUAAACUGAGAAGAACUAAAUUACUUGCUCAUAGUUAACCAGCUAUUAUGUGGCAGAGCAGAGAAUCAAGGCAACUACCAUUUAUGGAAGGUCAGCUGUAGACCAGAGACACUGUUCUACAGUGUCUGUUACAGAUCUCUUGCCUAAUCCUCAAAGCAGUCCAUGUGAAAUAGAUAUUAUUGGGCCUAUUUUAAACAUAAGAAAACUGAACUCAGUGAGAUUAUGUGACUUGUUCAAGAUCACAUGCCUGAUAAGUCUAAGUCAGGAUCAGCUACCCAGUGGUUGUCAAACUCUAAGGCACAUCACAAUCCCAGAGAGCCUGCUAAAAUACAGAUUUCAGGGCCCCACACCUAGGGAUUCUGAUUCAAUGAGUUAAAGGAUCUGCAGUUCUAACAAGCUCCCUGAGGAUACUCAUGAUGCUGGUCUGGGCACCACACUUUGAAUAACCUUGAGCUGCACCGUGCAACCUAUUCAUUGCUUCCUAGGAAUCCAGACAUCCUGACUCCUAGUUCUAUGAUCUGUCCACUACAACAUACUGCAGUUUAUUCUAACCUCUAAACUAACCAGACAAAAGACAGUAUUGUGUAUAUGUUUGUAAAUAUACGUAUUUUCUUUUAAGCAGUCGAUAUGACAUGUGGUCGUUCUCAGUUUUUUUAUGAACUGACAUUAUAUAGAAAAUUUAAUUGUCAAGAAAACCAUUAGAUGAAAACAUUUUAGAAACCUUUCAUCAGGGUUUAUUAUUAUUAUUAUUAUUAUUAUUAUUUUUUUGAGACAGAGUCUUUCUCUGUCACCCAGGCUGGAGUGCAGUAGUGCAAUCUCAGCUCACUGCAACCUCCGCCUCCCAGGUUCCAGCGAUUGUCGUACCUCAGCCUACCUAGUAACUGGGAUUACUGGCAUGCGCCACCACACCCGGCUAAUUUUUGUAUUUUUAGUAGAGACAGGGUUUUGCCAUGUUGGCCAGGCUGUUCUCAAACUCCUGGCCUCAAGUAAUCUACCAGCCUCAGCCUCCCGAAGUGCUGUGAUUAUAGGCAUGAGCCACUAUGCCUGGCCCAAGGUUUGUUAUUAAAGUUCUAGUCAUCCCUGGAAAUAAACAUUAUAAGUCCAAUUUUGUUGUAAAUAGCCCAUGUAGGGGAAAAAAGACAAUUGUGUGUGUUAUGGACACUCUGGAAUCAUGUAUUACAAAAUAAGCUCCCAGAAAUCGCAUUUACAAAUUUCAAUUUUGCUUCAGGGAAGAUUGACUUCUUACUCAGCUGAUAUUUAUACUUGGAAGAUCUGCAUUGAAGCAUUACUUAAUGAUAACAUUAAUUAUAAUAUUUAUAAGACGUCUUUCCAUGAGGCAUUCAAAUAACUGCAGUCAUGUAAUCUUUUUCUCAGUGUGGGCUCAAGAAACAGAUGGAAUUAUCAACUCUGCCUUAGAGAUGACAAGCCUGUGGUUCCACACAGACCUCAGGUGUCUUGGUGAAGGUCAUUCACAGAAAGAACCUAAGCCUUGGGAAUCCCAGCUCAGCAUAGCCAUGGUUACAUAACUGCUCUUUAACAGAUGCAGUCUCUCCACUGUGGGGUCAGGGAAACAGUGGUAAGACUCAAGCCAACUAGUGUGGUUACUUGGUAACAGCUUAGCUAAAAGGCUAGAAGAGAGAGGAGAAUCAAGCUAUUGGAUAAAAUUAAAUGAUUGCUUUGAAUUACACAUUUCUCUCUUAUUUCCCAGCACCAUAGAAAAAUAGGAGUUGGCAUUUGUUCUUUAUGGCUUAUCAAAUCUGACCUGGGAGAACCUACUACAGCUUCCGAAAAUGGAUGUUUUAUUAAAAUAGCUUAAGUUUAAUGUAUCACAUUUGCACAAUAACAAUUAGGAGGCAGUUCAUUUUCAAAUAGUGAGGGCUCUAUGAGUACUUACUCAAUUAAAAUGAUAAUUUAAUUAUCUUCAAUUGCCAUAUAUGAUUGGGGGAAUCUAUUUAAAGUUUUUGCCCCAUCCCCACUGUUCUUCCCUUUGCCUUCUUUUUAAAAUACCACAUAUUCCUGGUGAGUAUUCAUUUUGCCCUGUUCAAGGGUGAUACAUCAACUUACUGAUCUCCCCGGAAUGUUCAUUUCAUGGAUGAAUGAAAAUAGUGAUGCUCAUUGUAUUUCAGGUGCUUUACCCCAUCUAAAUGAUGAGCAGCUUUAUGAGUAGGGGAACUUAGAAUUGUGUUAUUAUUCAGAUCUCCACAGUUACUAGAAAGCCUGAGUAACAUUCAGGAAGUUCCAAAAUCCAGGCUUUAUGUUGUUGGGAGUCCCUAUUUAUCAGGAGCCUGGGCCAGUCCCUGGAGGCCCAGGAACAGCCUGGAGGCAAAUGCAUAGGUACAGCAUUGUGUCUGAAUUUAGGAUGAGGAGGCUCAGUCCUCAGGCUUUGGUGAAAACCCCCCUUAAUUCUGGUCACUCUUAAAGAUACCCCACUAAUACUGACUGGUACAGGCUUCCAUCGUAUUGAAUGUGUGCCACGCGCCUAGCACAGCCCCUGGCCCAUCAUAAGCACUCAAAUAUUAGCCAUCAUUUUGCAUUCUUUUAAGACCAUGCAUCUUCUCCUACUUCUAAUCAAGUUUCCACUGCUGCAACAUAGACGUCCUCAGGUUUCUCCCCUGCUCAAAAACGUUCAGUGACUAUUAGUUCCACCAGUGCUUCUCAAAGUGUAUCAGAAUCACCUGGGUUUUUUUUUUGCACAAUUGCAGAUUUUCAGGCUUUACUCCAAACCUACUGUAUUAGACCCUUGAGGAGUUGGGUCUGGGAAUUUGAAUUUAUUAACAAGCUCCACAAGUGUUUCUUACAUACUCUACCAAUAAUUUGAGAUUCCCCGACAUGUUGCACAGUAUGCACAUACCUUUACAUGGCAUUUAUUACCCCUUAAAACCUGGCCCCAACCAUCCAUCCAGUCUUAUUGCCUGCCAUACAGUAUUAUUGACACUCCCUUAUCAGGAAAACUUGUGAAAGACUUUGAAAUGAGAAAAAAACAUCCUGGAUGUGGAUAUUGUAUCUAUCAUACCAUUGUGGGUUAUAUCUGCCUUUCAUUGUGUUUGAGUUAUUUUAUAAUUCUGUUAGUUGUAGAAAAAUUGGUAAUGAUGCAAACAAUUCCUUCUGUAGAAAAGCAACUGAAUUUUGUUAUGUGAAAUGCAACUGAUUAUUUCUCUGUGGAUAAAUCAGUUUACAUCUACUUUUAAAUUCAUUUCAG
rnacentral:lncRNA from 1 species